GUGCACGGGGAGGGGGUCGCGGCCUAUCAGCUAGUUGGCGGGGUAACGGCCCACCAAGGCGACGACGGGUAGCUGGUCUGAGAGGAUGGCCAGCCACAUUGGGACUGAGAGACGGCCCAG
rnacentral:rRNA from 1 species